AUAAAUUACAAAACCUCCUAAAUUACAAUUACAUCCUCAAUCCGUCUUGAGGAUCACUAGUUCCCGGAGAGACGGAGAUACACAUGUAUCAAAAAUCCAGAUCAAUACUGAUUCCAAUUUCGAUCCAGAGAAAGACAUCUUGAGGUCAUCAAUGUGGUCGAGCAUUUCGUCUUCUGCAUUUUUGUUAGGUAGCAAUAUUUGUAAUGGAUUCGUUGAGACAACUGCUAUAAAUUCAUAAGGCCUUUUGCGAGUGUUAUGCAGAAAAGUAACCCGGCAAAAUAAAGGGAGUUGAUUGUUCAUUAUGUGUUGCAUAUGGUCCUCAACCGUGCCAAUAAUGUGCAAUCUGGGUUGAAAAGUGUGUUUAUAGUGCGUGGAUAUCUUUAGUCAUGUUCCUGAUAUUGAAAUACGCAUCAGAGAGUAUUGUGUUCAUGUCAUUCCAUGUGGAUGGAUCCCUGUGUUACUAAUUUGAGCAGUGUAUUAUAGUUCUUUAAUUGAUUGAGUUAUGGUUUAUGGUUCUGUUUCCAGGUCUUAACAAUUGUUGCAGCUGAUGAACAGGAGAUAUAAUUUUAUUGGCUUUGCAAAGUUGGAGAAAUCAGUUCGAGGUUAAAUACUAGAUUUCCCGCCCAUGAAGCCCCGAAGAGGAACUAAUUAUAUUUUAGCUUUGCAUGCCUGGGAACUAGGAGGCAAAACUGCACAUUUCUGCCGUCUCCAUUCAAUAAAGAACUUUACAAGGAUAUAAUGUUCAAAAGCUGGUGGUGCGCACAAUUAAGACAGUAAAGUUCUAAUUUGCACCAUUGGACCUACUUCAUUUGCAACUUUGGACCUGCUUCAUUAGAACCCCAUAUCUAAUGGGGUUCUAUUUUAUUGUUUACAGAAAGAUAGUGUACGAUAGCAGUGUUUGAAGGAGAUGGUCAAACUUAACACUUACAUGAAUGAUUGUAUUUGUACGACAAAUUUCAAAACCAACACCUAUACCGAGCAGUAGUUUUGCUUACCAGCUAUUUCGCAGUAUCUUUAGAGGAAGUAUACGACGGACCGGACGGAAAACUGAUAAUAGUAGUUGAAGAAUCUUAUGAAAUCACUCUUGAAGCCACGCCACCAUGAUAUCAACUUCUGCAUACCUACCAACACAUGACACGCAUGGAAUAUUGGAAUAUCGGAAAAACCUGUGGUUGUUAUGAUCUCAUCGUUUUAUGUAAAAAGUAAUUAGGUAAAUAAUCCAAACUUCUUUUUCUUUGCACUCCAAUUAAAAUGUUAAAAUUUAACAACUGUUGUUUUUCAUGUGUCCCCCUGUAUGUUUCUGCUCAUGGGAGUACAUUUAACCAUCCUGCGUCACUAUAGCCUAAGUGAGUCUUUAUUUCUCCUAUGGUUUGGAGGUUAAGAAAUAACUUGCUUAUAUUUUACCACCAAUUGCCACCAUCAUUUCUAUGCUUCGUUAAUGACUACCUCACACAAGUGAGUCUUUGUUUCUCCAUUCUCAAAAUUUUCUUUGGCGAUUUUACAACAUUGAAAAUUUUCCAUUCCACCAAGUUGCACUGAUUCCUUACAUUUUCCUUUAGGUAUUGCCUCCCAGCUGUUUAUAGCCUUAUUUUGAUCUCCAUUUGUUAAACUCUCUCCAAUUUUUAGGGAAAUUUUGAGUUUUGUAUGGAUACAUGAUUUGGGUUACAAGGCAUCCUUGGAUAUUUACUGUGCUUCUUGAAAUUUUCUGUUCGUGAGAUAAUAAUUACAAAUUUGUAACAAACAUUUGUUGUGUCAGCAAUUAGGACCCUUUGUUUGCUUAAGCAAUUAACUGACUGGAACUAUUUUAAUUUUCAAUUCAUUUGUUGCAAUAUCUAGAAUAUUAAUUGAGCAUGCAAGGGAUUCGUUUGCUUGGAGAAAAGUCUUUUUUACCAAACUUUGUAACUCAAAGUCGCAGGUUGUUUCCAUCGAAUCUAUUCAAGUUUGAUAAGGGUUCUUAACAGAAGUGACUGUUUGUACACCGAUUAUUCAUCUUAUUUUUAUAGAAGAUUUGCUAAUAUAUCACCGCAUUGCGUAAUUUCAGAAAUCAUUAGUUAAUUGCAGAAAUUUAUCAACGGCUUCUACUACUUGACUUGCAACACGUCAAACAGAAAUUCAGUCGCAGGACACCGUGCUGCAAUCGACGAUAAACUCUCUUUGUGUCAUGGAGUUCAGCUAGCCUUCAGUAAAAACUUGAAGAAUAGCCUAGAGGUCUUCAUCAACUCUUUGGAUUCAGUUUUGAACUUUUUAACAUAUAUGUUUGGAACUUGUGAAGUUCUAUUUUUGGAAAGUCUGAUAGUUCCUUCUUAUUUUUGGAUGUAUUCCAUCUUAUAUUUGUAAUCUUAUUAAUACUUAUUAUCUAAGCGAAGACAUCUUAUUGAAAUCUAUGGGUUGA